GAUGCUGUGGCUUAACUGGUAAAAGUGCCUGUCUAAUAAACAGAAUAUCCUGGGUUCAAAUGCCAGCAGUGCUU